rnacentral:rRNA from 1 species
ACACGACUACAUUAGAUACCCGGGUAGUCCUAGCCGUAAACGAUACUCGCUAGGUGUCGGCCACGGUGCGACCGUUGUCGGUGCCGUAGGGAAGCCGUGAAGCGAGCCACCUGGGAAGUACGGCCGCAAGGCUGAAACUUAAAGGAAUUGGCGGGGGAGCACCGCAACGGGAGGAGCGUGCGGUUCAAUUGGAUUCAACGCCGGACAACUCACCAGGAGCGACGGUUACAUGAAGGCCAGGCUGAUGACCUUGCCUGAUUUUCCG